GAUGAACGCUAGCGGCAGGCCUAACACAUGCAAGUCGAGGGGCAGCACAUAAAGUGGUUUACUACUUUUGGUGGCGACCGGCGGACGGGUGCGUAACGCGUAUGCAACCUGCCUCCAACAGGGGGAUAACGGAGAGAAAUUUCCACUAAUACCCCAUAAUAUCAGAAUCGGCAUCGGUUUUGGUUGAAAACUCCGGUGGUUGGAGCUGGGCAUGCGUUGUAUUAGAUAGUUGGUGAGGUAACGGCUCACCGAGUCAACGAUACAUAGGGGGACUGAGAGGUUAGCCCCCCACACUGGUACUGAGACACGGUCCCGACUCCUACGGAAGGCAGCAGUGAGGAAUAUUGGUCAAUGGGGGCAACCCUGAACCAGCCAUGCCGCGUGCAGGAAGACGGCUCUAUGAGUUGUAAACUGCUCUUACAAGGGGAUAAAUCGGUGUACGUGUACACCGUUGAAGGUACCUUGGGAAUAAGGAUCGGCUAACUCCGUGCCAGCCGCCGCGGUAA
rnacentral:rRNA from 1 species